GGGCUGAAGGGGUGUGGGGGGAUGAGCCGGACGGGGACAGAAUAUUUGGGGGGUGCAGGAGGCUAAGCGGGGCUGGGGUAGGGGGAGUUCGGUGGACGGGGCAGAGGAACUGGGGACUGAAGAGCUGCAAGGAGGCUGGGGGAGAAUGCAGGGUAGGAGAUGGGAAAUAGUGUGCAAAUAGUCACAUGAGGGAAGGGUUAGAUCUAAAUGGGCCUCGGGACCCUUGAGGAGCCACUGACUUCAGCAACAUUUAUUGCUGAACACACAAGAUCUGUGUAGAGUCUAUAUCUGUACUGAUGGUGCAAAGUACCACCUCCUCUGCGCUGCUGUGUGACAGGUCUUGGUGACAGCUUUACAUUCAUUUCUCUCUUCCUGUGGAGAAGGAAGUUUCUAUGGGGAAUGUAUACCUAGGAGUAUAAUUGUGGUUCUCCCUUAACAGGAGAAGCCAUGUGGUUUCUGUUAAGUA